rnacentral:lncRNA from 1 species
UUCUAUGAGUAGGGGGGUUGAUCUUGAGAAAGAGGAAUUCAAAACCCUACACAAUCCUGACACCUUCAACAAUCAUUCACUGCACCGUGUGGGAUAUAGGAAAGUAAAUGAUCAUUGGACAUUAAGGGGACAGCAGGUAGCAGAGCAAGAGAGGAUGAGGUUGGUCCAUCAGAGCCUGCCAUACUCAUCGAGCCAACUACGGAGCCUGAGAUAGCCAGAAGCACAGAGGCAGCACUUAAGCAACAUCAGACUGGACCCUCGUUUCAGAUGCCAUGCCUAGAGUACAUAAGACUAGAUGAGGGUCAGCUAUGAUCAGUGGUUGAACAAGUAAUUUUUGGAUUAAUUAUAGCUGGUACCUUCAAACAGGGGAGAGUAGUAGAGCGACAUUUCUGGCUCCCCCUUGAGCAUCAGGUGGACUUACCCUGCGCUUCACAACCUUGUACAGGAUGAUUUUAAAUUGUGGCAUGAGAUCGCCAACAUCCAUAUUUUGAUAUCUCACAUGCUACAGAGGAGCAGAGACAUUGAGGAUGAGCUCAGAGCUGUCAGGCAGACAUAAGAGCAAGCAAUUCCAAUCAUUCCCCCUCUUCAAACUAGGGCUUCUCCUUCCAGACCUUCUGCUUCUAGACCCUCCUCUUCUAGACCAUUUGCCACCGGGCACCCUACUCGACAUCGUAGAUCCCUGAGUCCUCCCAUUGUUUUUGUCAAUCAAUCAUCUGACUGUAACUAGAACUCUUCCUACCUACCUUUACGAUGCUAGACCUACACUUCUUGUACUUAAAUAUUCUCUAAGCAUCACUUUCUGCUCUUAGGUUUAGUUCCUCACAGGAUCUUUUGACUUUAUUUUGUGUUCCUAUGUCUUGAUCUAUGUAAAGUUGACUUUUAAUGCACUGAAGCUGUCUUACUCUUCAAUGAAUGUGUCUUUCAAUCUGUAUUUUACGGAUGU